rnacentral:lncRNA from 1 species
UGAUGUCUAUUUCUUCUUGUUCUCCUUCACCUCACAUGAACCUUCCAAGUCAUAAUUCUUUGGAAAUAGACACAAGGAGCUUUAUUUCAAAUUACCAUCCUUUACUUAAGAGGUUCCAUCUCUAAGGUCUGGCUGAUUUCACUUAACAUAAUGUCCUUCAGGUUCAUCCACAUUGUGCCAAAUGUUAAUCCUCUGUGGCCAUGUCGGGUCUGUUGGUGGAGAUGCCAAACACGGAAGACAGUGAAGUGGUGGCUCAGCGUUCUCCAAAGGAAUGAGCAAGCAGAUGAGGCAAAGCACACUCUGAAGAGUGACAACUAUAGCUUCCAUAAGAAAGUUUUGGAGGCUCCUAAAAAUGACAGAUAAAUGAACUAACCUAAUCAGCAAAAUUAAACUAUAGGAAAGAGUAUGGACCUUGAAAAGACAGCUUAGCCAGCUUGACGACUAAAGCAACACCUUUCCAAGCAACAUUGGAAAUUUGACCUCCUCAUCAGAAAAAUGUGUAUAGACAUCUCUGGAGUCAGGCUACCCCAUAUGAAGCUUGGAUUUUGGCUUCACUGUGGCUGCAGGUAUUUGAGGAUGCAAUUAGCUGAACUAAUCUCACUCAAAUUCCUAAGUGCGACUUCUUACGUGGUUUUCAUCUAGCCGUUCUAUCUAUCCCAACAAGAAUCUGUUGCUAGACCUCAAAAACACUGAGUGCUGUCAGGAAAAAAUGUACAAGGCACCACAAAGAUUAUGGGGCAUCUACUAUGGAAAACCUAGACAUUGUCUAGAGCAUUGUUUGUGGUUAUCUCUGUCUUUCAUUGCCUUUGAUCUAUUUUUCAACUCUCCACAUUGUAGAAAAUGACUGAUAAUUCAAAUGAUUCUUUUCCAUAAAAAUGGAAGUGAACAAUGUUCGGUGGGAUGCAAUGGACUAAUUUUGUAGGUAUUUAUAAAUUUAUUUUAACAUUUUGUAUUACCUAUGUAUAUAUGUGAUUCUCUGAAUUCUCUUUUGAACUGAUCAUAACAUCUUACUGGAUCUCAUUAAUUAAUGCAUUAAAGUCUUUGACCCAUGUUCAUUUUA